CGGGAAGCGAGCGUACACAGGUGCUGCAUGGCUGUCGUCAGCUCGUGUCGUGAGAUGUUCGGUUAAGUCCGCUAACGAGCGCAACCCUCGCUGUGUGUUACAAGUGUCACACGGAACUGCCGGUCAUAAACCGGAGGAAGGUGGGGAUGACGUCAAGUCAGCAUGGCCUUUAUAUCCUGGGCUACACACACGCUACAAUGGGAAGGGACAAUAGGUUGCGAAGCCGCGAGGCGGAGCCAAUCCAGCAAAACUUCCCUCAGUUCAGAUUGCAGGCUGCAACUCGCCUGCAUGAAGUUGGAGUUGCUAGUAAACGCAGGUCAGCCAUACUGCGUUGAAUACGUUCCCGGGGCUU
rnacentral:rRNA from 1 species